CAAGCUUGGAUGACUGUGUAAAUAUGAAUCUAAGUUGUGGAAGGUGACUUCUAAAAGCUGUGAUCUGAAAAUCAGCAGACAUCCAACUAAGUUCACCAUAUACUGAAAUAUGACUGAAUCCAGAAAUUUAUAUCUCAAAAGACAACACAGUCAAAAAACUGAUUUUGAUUGAUGCCCAAAGACAACAAGGGGGAGUUAGGAUAACGAUAUAAAUAAAAUAUUUCAGCACACAGAGAAGAACCAUGGAGAUUAACCCUGGAGGAAAUGUGGAAAAGCCCAGAGAUACAAGGGAACAGUGUCUGGGGGAUGCUUUGAAAUGUAUCACACUUCUUGGAAACAAUAACAUGGCCCUGGACAACCCUGCAUCCUAAAAUGGCCCCUGCCUACAGGAAACCAGUCACUCCAGAGAGAACAAAGACCUGCUCUUUCCUGUCUCGCCCUCAGUCAUAGCCAGUCAUCUGCCUCCAUCACACUCCUCCAGCCCUUAUAAACCUCACCCAGCCAAGCCCUGGUUGCUGCUCUCACCAUUGUUCGAGACAGCCUGGCAGCUCUGUCCCUUAAUAAAAGCUCUGCUUUGGGUGUUCGUGUUUCACCUCAUUUUAUUUCUCUCAUUAUUGGUGCUGAACAGCGGGGAGGGAUGUGAUUGGGAUUUUGCGAGGGUCCCCCCACUGGCCAAGGUUGAUUGGCCUCCUGACUGCCCUUGUCGGACCCUGCCAAGCCAACACCCUACCAGGAG
ensembl:lncRNA